rnacentral:rRNA from 1 species
GACGAACGCUGGCGGCGUGCUUAACACAUGCAAGUCGAACGGAAAGGCCCUGCUUUUGUGGGGUGCUCGAGUGGCGAACGGGUGAGUAACACGUGAGUAACCUGCCCUUGACUUUGGGAUAACUUCAGGAAACUGGGGCUAAUACCGGAUAGGAGCUCCUGCUGCAUGGCGGGGGUUGGAAAGUUUCGGCGGUUGGGGAUGGACUCGCGGCUUAUCAGCUUGUUGGUGGGGUAGUGGCUGACCAAGGCUUUGACGGGUAGCCUGGCUGAGAGGGUGACCGGCCACAUUGGAACUAAGAUACUGCCCAAACGCCUACGGAAGGCAGAAGUGGGGAAGAUUACACGAUGGACGGAAGCCUAAUGCAGCAACGCCGCGUGCGGUAUGACGGCCUUCGGGUUGUAAACCGCUUUCGCCUAUGACGAAGCGUUGGUGACGGUAAUGGGUAAAGAAGCACCGGCUAGGUACGUG